GUAAGGAAUAUUGGUCAAUGGACGAAAGUCUGAACCAGCCAUGCCGCGUGGAGGAUGGAGGUCCUCUGGAUUGUAAACUUCUUUUAUAUGGGACGAAAAUGGGGCUUUCUAGCUCAACUGACGGUACCAUAUGAAUAAGCACCGGCUAACUCCGUGCCAGCAGCCGCGGUAAUACGGAGGGUGCAAGCGUUAUCCGGAUUCACUGGGUUUAAAGGGUGCGUAGGUGGAUUGGUAAGUCAGAGGUGAAAUCUCCGGGCUCAACUCGGAAACUGCCUUUGAUACUAUCAAUCUUGAAUAUUGUGGAGGUUAGCGGAAUAUGUCAUGUAGCGGUGAAAUGCUUAGAUAUGACAUAGAACACCAAUUGCGAAGGCAGCUGGCUACACAUAUAUUGACACUGAGGCACGAAAGCGUGGGGAUCAAACAGGAUUAGAAACCCCGGUAGUCC
rnacentral:rRNA from 1 species